GGAGGAGUGCAAGAGCGGUUUAUUUGGCCGGUCUCGAAAACCGAGCGAGUCGUAAGACUCACAGAGGUUCGAAUCCUCUCUCCUCCG
rnacentral:tRNA from 1 species